rnacentral:rRNA from 1 species
AGUGAACGCUGGCGGUAGGCCUAACACAUGCAAGUCGAACGGCAGCACAGUAAGAGCUUGCUCUUACGGGUGGCGAGUGGCGGACGGGUGAGGAAUACAUCGGAAUCUACUUUUUCGUGGGGGAUAACGUAGGGAAACUUCCGCUAAUACCGCAUACGACCUACGGUUGAAAGCAGGGGAUCUUCGGCCCUUGCGCGAUUGAAUGAGCCGAUGUCGGAUUAGCUAGUUGGCGGGGUAAAGGCCCACCAAGGCGACGAUCCGUAGCUGGUCUGAGAGGAUGAUCAGCCACACUGGAACUGAGACACGGUCCAGACUCCUACGGGAGGCAGCAGUGGGGAAUAUUGGACAAUGGGCGCAAGCCUGAUCCAGCCAUACCGCGUGGGUGAAGAAGGCCUUCGGGUUGUAAAGCCCUUUUGUUGGGAAAGAAAAGCAGCAGGUUAAUACCCCGCUGUUCUGACGGUACCCAAAGAGUAAGCACCGGCUAACUUCGUG